UGAUGAGCAUGGUGAUGGUCAUUGAUGUAAAUUUGAACUACCAUGCCUUGUUGUUCUUCUUCUAUCCCUUGGGUGGCUUUUGUUGAGCUUUUCUUUCUUUCUUUUCCUGCAGCAGCAUAUCAAUCAACCAACAAGUAUUUUUUGAUGGAAAUUAACCAACAAGUUUUUUUUAUGGAAAUCAACCAACAAGUUAUUUUACAAUAAUGUAUUGUCACCAGAAGGGAAAACCAUUUUUUGUAUUCUUUUCUUUAUAAUUUAUAUAUAUACUGCUUGCACUUUGUUUGUGUGCUUGCUAGUUCUACUCUACGUUCAUUCUUAUCCUGAUGAUGUUAAAUUGUAAUUUCUCCAUCUGUAUGAUCCUCUAUUCAUUAUUGUCAUCGAAUUGUUUUGCCCUCCUAGGUGC
rnacentral:lncRNA from 1 species